UACGUAGGGUGCAAGCGUUAAUCGGAAUUACUGGGCGUAAAGCGUGCGCAGGCGGUUGUGUAAGACAGAUGUGAAAUCCCCGGGCUCAACCUGGGAACUGCAUCCGAUACUGGAUGGCUUGAAUUCGGGAGAGGGAUGCAGAAUUCCAGGUGUAGCGGUGAAAUGCGCAGAUAUCAGGAGGAACACCGAUGGCGAAGGCAGGUCUCUGGGCUGACACUGACGUCAUGACACGAAAGCGUGGGGAGCAAACAGG
rnacentral:rRNA from 1 species